rnacentral:lncRNA from 1 species
UUAGAUACACACACAUUUAUCGUUGUGUUACAACUGCCCACAGUAACAUGCUGCAUAGGUUUGUGGCCUCAGAGUAGUAGGCUGCACCCUACAAUGGAGGUGCACAGUAGGCUACACCAUCUAGAUUUGUGUAAGUGUACCUUAUGAUGUUUGCACAAAGAUAAAAUCGGCUAAGGGCACAUUUCUCACAAGAUAUCUUCUUCAUCAAGCAACACAUGACUGUAAACAGAUCCUUUUGCCUCUGUUAUUUUCCAGGAGAGAGGAGAACGAGAUAAGAGACAGAAGCAGCAUUUAAAGAAACACUGGUCAGGAAAUCUUCAACUUUGAAAGAAAACAUCAACCUACAGAUUCAAGAUGUACUUCAGACCUAAGCACCAUGGAAACAGUCUUCCAAGACUUUAAGAAAACUUGCCUUUUGUUCUGGAGGAAGACAGCGUCUCUAUCUUCCAAAGCUGUUUGCUUCACAAACAUCCUUGAGAAUGUAGUCCGGAAAUAAAAGGAGUCAAUACUUCUGUUCUUAAGAUGUGAAGAAACAUGAGAGGCCCAUGGAGAAUCAUCAUCCAAUAAUAUUAGCCGAAAUUGCAAAUUGUAACACAAUACAAAGGUGUGAAAAUAUUCAGAGGGUGUUUUCUGGCCAUAGAAGAAAUAAUCUAGAAAUCAGUAACAAAAGUACACCUAGAUAAUCCUUAAAAUGUUUGGAAACUAAAAUGUACUUUUCUAAAUUAGAUGUACGUUAAAGAGAAAUCACAAUAUUAAUUAAAAUAACUUAUUUUCAUUUAGUUAAAAAUAUUAAAAGUUGUGGAAUGCAACUGCAGAAGUACUUAGAAGGAAAUUAUAGCAUUACAUGCACAUAUUAAAAUAAUAACUGCUAACAAUUAUCUCAGUUCUAUUCUCCAGGUCCAGCAGAAACCAUGGCAUAUUAACGCCAAAAACCCUAAGAUAAUAGAAAUGAUAAGAAACAGAAAUCAAUAAGAACCAGAAGCAAAUAGCAAAACCCAAUAAACCAAAAUAUUAUUGUUUGAAAAGGUUAAUAAAAUCAAAGAACUCCCUAGUGAUAUAAAUUAUGAAAAAAGUAACUCAAGUUACCAACAUAAAGAAUGCAAAGGUGAUAUCAUUAUAGAUCCACAGACUUUAAAAGAUAAUAAACAAAUGUCUUUAAGUUUAAAUGAAAAAAAUCUUGGAAAAUACAACUUUCAAAAAUAGACACAAAAUCAAACUGAAAACCUCAAUGGUCCUUUAUCUAUUAAAGAAAUGGAGUUCACAAUUAAGACCUUUCUACAAUGCAAUACCACAUAGCAACGAAAGAGAAUAAACUACUGCUACACACAAUAGGGAUGAAUCUCAUAGACAUAAUGAUGAGAAAGAAAACGAAGCUAAAAAUGUAAGAGUACAAAAUGCAUAGCAUCAUUUAUAUGAAGUUCAAAAACAUGCAACACUAAUCUCUAGUGAUAAAAUUAAAUAUGGUGGUUACUUUUGUGUAUGUGGUAAUGAUUACAUGGGGGCCUAAGGAAGGCUUCUGGCGAGCAGACAACGUUCUGUAGUUUGGCCUUUAUCUUGGGUAUGUGUGUGAUGAUCGGGCAAAAAUUAAUCAAACCUACCUUUAGGAUUUGCAUUCUUUCCUGUAUAUAUUCUAUAGCUCAAUAAGCAUUAAAGUCAAAAUACAAACUACCAAAAAAGUAUAGAGAGGAAAUGGCCUGAUUUCUUGAAGUUAAUGUCUAAGAUUACCAAAACGUUGUUCUACCUUGCUCUGUCUGUACUUUUUAUAUCAACACUGCAUUAAUCUUUUGGGGAAGAUUAUAAAAUAGAUAAUCAUUAUUAAACUCCAUUUGUGAGAUUGGAUUAUGUCAGUAAAGACUUAAAACCCUAGUUUAUUUUUAGUAUUUAGGCCAUCUAAAUUCACUAGCUGACUUCAAGGAAGGAAAAAAAAAUCAGGGUUUAUGAGGAGUCUCAGCAGGGAGUGUUUAUAUCCUACUUAGCACUGUAGGAUGCUGUGAGUUGGAAAACAUAGGCAGAUCCAAUUAACAGAUUCUGCACUGUGGCAACUGAACGAUAUUAUGCUUUGGACAGCUUUAUGUGUGAAUGUGAGAACAUAUUCUUAAGAAAUGCUGUAACUUUAUCCCAUAUAACUUCAUAAGAAUUUCUCUAUAGGCUUGGGAUUUGCAAUAAAAAUAGAGAUAU